ACGUGCGAAGAAUCUGCCUGCCUGCUCUGCCCAUUCCCAGCCAUCAUUUAACUCCAUCUGGACCUUUGGCUCACAUUACCCCCACCAAACUCCACACGGGUUUCAGGACAACCUUCCCCCACAGUUCACCAGAAUCGUCAUACGAGUGCCGCCGUUUGUGGAUCACUUCCAUUAUCCUGAGACGCUACGUGGACCUGUCAAUUGUGUUUGAUCUUUUGUUAAUAAAUCCCUUUUCCUAGA